AAACAGAUAUACCAUCAAACCACUCUAUUAGAACCAAAUGAUUUCAGACACAUUUUACAGAAAUCCCUUCAAUAAGGACUGCAUAUUUUCAAUGCUGUAAAUAUUUUACAGGGGUCUGGCGUGGUACCACAAUCUUCAAAGCCCAGCUGUCAAAGUUUCAAGGUCUAAAUCAUUUUCUCUGCAACCCAAAAUCUGUGGUAGACAUUUCCAUUGUUUAGAGUGUUCAAUAGUCAACCCAUAUACCAUGAAAGUUUUAAGACUCUCCCUUCAGUCCUGUUUCUUUAACCAUUAAUCAAAUGACCGAAAAUAGCACACAGAUAGAGUGUUGUUCGCAGAGAGGGGCAGAAGGGGUGGAAAAUGAGAGGAAAACAUUUCAAGUGUACCUAGAGACUACAGAGCAUUAGACAUUAAUUCUAUUUUGGACACUCAGCCUAAGGAAAGGGCAAUAUACCGUUCAGCAGUUUUUGAAAUCAAUCUUCACAAUGCCUCUCGAUCCAGGACACAUCCAGUCAAUACAGUUAUGUUCAUUUAUGAGUCUCCUCUGGAAUAUUUUCAUGGCACUUAGCGGUUUCCAGACAAAGAGGGGCCAUUGGUUUAAAACACAUCAUUAGCUGAAAAGUCUGGAUCUCCUUCAACAGAGCUGACACUUCCAGACUCAUGUUCCUGAUUGACAGACGGCAGCCUCACUGACAUCACUCUGACAUCACUUCCUCGCCCUUCUGUGUGUAGAAAAAUGUCUUCACCUGUGGGAAAACAGGUAGAAUCAACAUUUAAAUACAGCUGCUGUUGGUAGAUUUGAACUUUUCACAAAGGAAUCUCACAAACUCCGAUCGCAAACGGCUGUUUUUCAUUUAUAAAAGUGCAACCUCUGUGACAGAAGUGUGACCAAAUAUGAUCAAAUGUCCAAUUUAUAUAAAUAAGACCACCAUGCAAGAUCUAACAGGAUGAACCGGACCCCACCUGCCCCACCGCAGAGCAAACUGGCUGUUUGUGAAAGGAAAGGAUAUGCAAAUAAAAAUAAUGUAAA